rnacentral:rRNA from 1 species
AGUGAACGCUGGCGGUAGGCCUAACACAUGCAAGUCGAACGGCAGCACAGUAAGAGCUUGCUCUUACGGGUGGCGAGUGGCGGACGGGUGAGGAAUACAUCGGAAUCUACUUUUUCGUGGGGGAUAACGUAGGGAAACUUACGCUAAUACCGCAUACGACCUACGGGUGAAAGCAGGGGAUCUUCGGACCUUGCGCGAUUGAAUGAGCCGAUGUGGGAUUAGCUAGUUGGCGGGGUAAAGGCCCACCAAGGCGACGAUCCGUAGCUGGUCUGAGAGGAGGAUCGGCCACACUGGAACUGAGACACGGUCCAGACUCCUACGGGAGGCAGCAGUGGGGAAUAUUGGACAAUGGGGGCAAGCCUGAUCCAGCCAGACCGCGUGGGUGGAGAAGGCCUUCGGGUUGUAAAGCCCUUUUGUUGGGAGAGAAAAGCAGCAGGUUAAUACCCCGCUGUUCUGACGGUACCCAAAGAAUAAGCACCGGCUAACUUCGUG